rnacentral:snRNA from 1 species
AUCAUCCAAGGAAACCUAAUGAUUUAUCUAAUAAUUUAGAAAGAAUAGCACGGUCCCUGCACAAGGAUGACAUGCACAUUCUUGAAGUGCUCCCUAUUUUU